CAGGACACUACUAAUUCCAUAGCUUUGAACAAGUGUUUGACGGGAAGGAACUGUGCUGAUCUUCACCUGCUUGGGCAGUGGUAACACAGAAUCUGGGUGGGAAUAAGUCCUCAUCCCUGCUGGUAUUCAAACUUACCCAUAGUACUUCUCUGUCUCGGGAGCUUAGGAGAAAAUAAGAGUGAAAGAGAUUUACUGGUCCACAGAGUCUCAUCUACUGUAUUCACAGCCAGGCUGUGCUGUGACCUACUGAGUUUAUAAUUGGGGACAAACCGAAAUAGCACCAUCAGAGACUGCAGCAAUGAUCUCAUUAAAAAGUCAACAUUUGCUAAUAGAGAAAAACUGAUGUUGAAAAUGCCUUUAGGUGGAAAUUCCUAACAAAUCUGGCUCUCUGUAAUGAUCACUUACAUACCUAUUAAGGC
rnacentral:lncRNA from 1 species